rnacentral:ncRNA from 1 species
UUAGCUAUUUUAGAUAGUUUGUAUUCAUAACAUUGUGGAUACAAACCUCACAACACUUUGUUUGUAUCUAUAAUGGCUAGAGCAGUUUAACGUGAACAGCAGCCAUGUAGAGAAUCUUCUAAAUGGCCGCACUGAAUUUCUGAAUUUUGGUAAGUUCAAAUCCAUUUAGACGAUUGUCUGAAUGGAUUU